rnacentral:rRNA from 1 species
UACGGGGGGGGCAAGCGUUGUUCGGAAUUACUGGGCGUAAAGGGCUCGUAGGUGGCCAACUAAGUCAGACGUGAAAUCCCUCGGCUUAACCGGGGAACUGCGUCUGAUACUGGAUGGCUUGAGUUCGGGAGAGGGAUGCGGAAUUCCAGGUGUAGCGGUGAAAUGCGUAGAUAUCUGGAGGAACACCGGUGGCGAAGGCGGGUCUCUGGGCCGAAACUGACGCUGAGGAGCGAAAGCGUGGGGAGCAAACAGG